AGUCCAUGAUGGGGACACUUACGUAUCAUCAAUUUGAAUCACUCUCAUGCCUCGUAUAAUGUUUCACCUUGAAUUAUUUGAAAUUUGUGAUAUCGUGUCUAAGUUG
rnacentral:snoRNA from 1 species